rnacentral:rRNA from 1 species
UACAGAGGUCCCAAGCGUUGUUCGGAUUCAUUGGGCGUAAAGGGUGUGUAGGUGGCGCCGUAAGUCGGGUGUGAAAUUUCGGAGCUUAACUCCGAAACUGCAUUCGAUACUGCGGUGCUUGAGGACUGGAGAGGAGACUGGAAUUCAUGGUGUAGCAGUGAAAUGCGUAGAGAUCAUGAGGAAGACCAGUGGCGAAGGCGGGUCUCUGGGACGUGACUGACGCUGAGACGCGAAAGCGUGGGGAGCAAACAGG